GCAUAUCAAAAGCGGAGGAAAAGAAACCAACAGGGAUUGCCUCAGUAACGGCGAGUGAAGCGGCAAGAGCUCAACUUUGGAAUCGCUGCGGCGAGUUGUAGUCUGGAGGUGGCCGGUCCCGGCGCCAGCGCGCAGCCAAGUCCUUUGGAACAAGGCGCCUGAGAGGGUGACAGCCCCGUGGCAGUUUGUGCUGGUGCCGCCUCGGCCCACCGACGAGUCGAGUUGUUUGGGAAUGCAGCUCUAAGUGGGUGGUAAAUUCCAUCUAAAGCUAAAUACCGGCGAGAGACCGAUAGCGAACAAGUACAGUAAUGGAAAGAUGAAAAGCACUUUGAAAAGAGAGUGAAACAGUACGUGAAAUUGUUGAAAGGGAAGGGCUUGCACCCAGACACGGCCUUCUGGCCGGGCCAGCAUCGGGUGGGAGGGAGCGACAACGAGCAGUCGAUGUAGUACAGCCCUCUGGGCUGUGCAUUAUACGUCUUGCUUUCUGGCUCCUCUCCCGCCCGAGGACCGCAGCAAUAAGGAUGCUGGCGCAAUGGUUGCAAGCCACCCGUCUUGAAACACGG
rnacentral:rRNA from 2 species